rnacentral:rRNA from 1 species
UACGAAGGGGGCGAGCGUUGUUCGGAUUUACUGGGCGUAAAGGGCGCGCAGGCGGCGACAUUUGUCAGGCGUGAAAGCCCCGGGCUCAACCUGGGAACAGCGCUUGAGACUGGCACGCUCGAGUUCGGGAGAGGAUGGUGGAAUUCCCAGUGUAGAGGUGAAAUUCGUAGAUAUUGGGAAGAACACCGAUGGCGAAGGCAGCCAUCUGGACCGACACUGACGCUGAGGCGCGAAAGCGUGGGGAGCGAACAGG